CCAGGCCACCUCAAGGAAGGUUCAUCGAGAGCAGCUCAACGCAAUCCCAGCAGCCCCAAGGAAGGUUCAUCGAGAGCAGCUCAACGCAAUCCCGGUUACCUCAAGACAGGCUCAUCGACAGCAUCUCAACACAAUCCCGGUCACCUCAAGACAGGUUCAUCGACAGCAUCUCAACACAGUCCCGGUCACCUCAAGACAGGUUCAUCGACAGCAUCUCAACACAAUCCCGGUUACCUCAAGACAGGUUCAUCGAGAGCAGCUCAACACAAUCCCGGUUACCUCAAGACAGGUUCAUCGAGAGCAGCUCGACACAAUCCCGGUUACCUCAAGACAGGUUCAUCGACAGCUCAACACAAUUUCGAUUACCUCAAGAC
rnacentral:lncRNA from 1 species